rnacentral:rRNA from 1 species
UACGUAGGUGGCAAGCGUUAUCCGGAUUUACUGGGUGUAAAGGGCGCGCAGGCGGCCCCAAAAGUCAGAUGUGAAAGAUCAAGGCUUAACUUUGACAUGUCAUCUGAAACUUUGGGACUUGAGUAUCAGAGGGGAAAGCGGAAUUCCUGGUGGAGCGGUAAAAUGCGCAGAGAUCAGGAGGAACACCGGUGGCGAAGGCGGCCUCCUGGACCAUUCCUGACACUCAGACGCGAAAGCUAGGGUAGCAAACGGGAUUAGAUACCCCCGUAGUCCCU